GUCCGGCCUCCUCCUGCCCCCCCCAUCUCUAGGAGCCCCGGGGGAAAGGCCGCUUUGCAAGGGGGGACGGGAGGGGCUUCCUCGCGAGUUUCCCGCCAGAGGACCUGCAAGGAGGUGAUGAAGAGGACAAUGGGAAUUCUAUGGAGCCAGUCAUUCUUUCAUUGAAAACAAAACCCAAGUGUGGAGCAC